AUUGAUAAAGUCUAUUUACUAACCAACUAAUUAAAAAAUCUUAUGGUGGUCCGAUCAGUCUACACGUAUGUGUGUGGUUAGGAUUCGAGCGAGACUCGGCGUUUAUUGUGGUGCAUGUAUCUUUCGUUUACUUCCAAUUUACAAUUCUGCGGAAUCAACAUGAUUUAGAGUAAAUAAUUGCUUGUAAAAAGUAAAUAGAGAUUCGCAUUUUACCAAAAGAAAAGGAAAAAACAUUGGAGAUGGGGAGGGUCCAUACUCCCCUAAGCCACGGGUCGAGUGGAGUACAGUUGGUUGGCGCACUUACUCUUGACGAUGUUUGUGGACAUAGUCCCUCCAAAAUGUUCCCUU